rnacentral:rRNA from 1 species
CCUACGGGAGGCAGCAGUGAGGAAUAUUCCACAAUGGGGGAAACCCUGAUGGAGCGAUGCCGCGUGCAGGAAGACGCUUUUCGGAGUGUAAACUGCUUUUAACAAGGAAGAUUAUGACGGUACUGAGAUAGACGCCCC